UUUCUUGGCGUUGGCUGACUUCACCCUCAUGUGGUGGUUUGGCGUGAAGUGAACUCUAAAGUGUUAAUCUCAGGAGUUAUCCAUCUGCACCUCUCAUACUGAGGUAUGAAUAUAAUAGGGUUACCGUGCCCCACUAGUAGGCUGGUCCGCGAAACCCGUCCACUGUAGUGACAAAUUUAUAACUCACCAAUUUAAUAAAAUUUGCGAUAGCAUGACAUGGCAAUUAUUUUAUUUUACAGCCUCUCAAGGCAAAUUAACAGUUCAAACAUUUUCAUCACAUAUACCAAAUCAACCAAUCAUGCCAAUAUUAUCAUAAGCCAUUCAAUUCAAACCAUGAUUUAUAACACAACAAUUUAGUCUCCAAUUGCUCCAUUUUCAAAACCAUCAUUCAAUUUCAAGACAAUAUAUAAAAUCAUUUUCAUUUAAUCACAUUUUGCUUAUAAAACAUAAAGAUUUACCAUUUAAACUCAUUUUUCAUAAAAUCACAAAAUCGGAUAAAAACCACUUUAGAUAAUUAAGAUGAUAGUAAGGUUACUCAUUAUUUCGGGAGUCGAAUUCCAAGUACUCUGAUUCUUGAUCCUCGGGUACUAUCUCUUUACUUUUGCCAGAAUGCUCACUAUCUAGACAUAAUGCACAAUAAGCCGUUUACUACAUUGUGCUAAAUUGUUAUAAAACCAAUUCAUGCUUUAUUCUAAGGUAUGAAAUGGGAUGCAAAUUGUUCGGAUUAUUGUUCAAAUACGGUGUUCUACACAAAUUCAAUUGUGUACCUAAAUUAAACGGUAUUGGCCUAAUUCGAUCUAUCACUCGAUUAAUUGGCCAAUACGUCCAAUUUAACUCCAAAUAAUUUCAUUUUUCUCCCAAUACUCCAAAUCAUCAAACACAAGUCAAAUAGCAUAAAAUCUAGCAAAAUCAUUUUCACAUUUUCUCUUGGGAAAUUCGGCAAUGGUGGGUGCAUCAACACUAUAAUUUUCCCUACUUGAUUCUCACACCAUAAAUCACUAAUUCCUAACCAAAUCACUUGAAAUAAAAUCAAAAUCAUCCUCAAUAUUCCACAUGGAGAAUUCGGCCAAUGAUGGGUGAUGGAAGAACAUGAAUUUUUCUUGCUUGAUUUUCAUGUUACACAUCACUAAUCAACUAAAAACACUAAAAUACAUUGAAAUCUAACCAAAUAAAUCAUCAAAUCUUCUCUCUCUAAAUUCAGUCAGCCGUGAAUCCUUCAUGAUAUCUUGUGAUUCAACUGUGGAAAAUGCAAAAUAAUGCAUGGGAAAGGUAGAUCACAAGUCAAAAUCAAGAAAUUUUACCUUUGAUUGCUUGAUUACUUGAAUUUUCACACUUUUCCCUUGAAUUUUUCCACCUAGGGUUUUUGUUCUUCUUUUCUUCCUUUGUUCUUGCUAUGGCC
rnacentral:lncRNA from 1 species